AUUGAACGCUGGCGGCAUGCUUUACACAUGCAAGUCGAACGGUAACAGGCCGCAAGGUGCUGACGAGUGGCGAACGGGUGAGUAAUGCAUCGGAACGUGCCCAGUCGUGGGGGAUAACUACUCGAAAGAGUAGCUAAUACCGCAUACGAUCUAUGGAUGAAAGCGGGGGACCGUAAGGCCUCGCGCGAUUGGAGCGGCCGAUGUCAGAUUAGGUAGUUGGUGGGGUAAAGGCUCACCAAGCCAACGAUCUGUAGUUGGUCUGAGAGGACGACCAGCCACACUGGGACUGAGACACGGCCCAGACUCCUACGGGAGGCAGCAGUGGGGAAUUUUGGACAAUGGGCGCAAGCCUGAUCCAGCAAUGCCGCGUGCAGGAAGAAGGCCUUCGGGUUGUAAACUGCUUUUGUACGGAAAGAAACGGCUCUGGUUAAUACCCGGGGCUAAUGACGGUACCGUAAGAAUAAGCACCGGCUAACUACGUG
rnacentral:rRNA from 1 species